rnacentral:rRNA from 1 species
GAUGAACGCUGGCGGCGUGCCUAAUACAUGCAAGUCGAGCGAACGGACGAGAAGCUUGCUUCUCUGAUGUUAGCGGCGGACGGGUGAGUAACACGUGGAUAACCUACCUAUAAGACUGGGAUAACUUCGGGAAACCGGAGCUAAUACCGGAUAAUAUUUUGAACCGCAUGGUUCAAAAGUGAAAGACGGUCUUGCUGUCACUUAUAGAUGGAUCCGCGCUGCAUUAGCUAGUUGGUAAGGUAACGGCUUACCAAGGCAACGAUGCAUAGCCGACCUGAGAGGGUGAUCGGCCACACUGGAACUGAGACACGGUCCAGACUCCUAUGGGAGGCAGCAGUAGGGAAUCUUCCGCAGUGGGCGAAAGCCUGACGGAGCAACGCCGCGUGAGUGAUGAAGGUCUUCGGAUCGUAAAACUCUGUUAUUAGGGAAGAACAGAUGUGUAAGUAACUGUGCACAUCUUGACGGUACCUAAUCAGAAAGCCACGGCUAACUACGU